ACUCAUCCUGCUACAUGGCUGGGCUGUAAAAGCAGAGCCCGCCCCUCUCCACACCCAGUAAUGAAGAGAGAACAGAGAGCAGUGCAGAAAGUCCAUUUCAAACACCCUGCAGAGCUGACACUGAAAAACAGCUCAUUUUCUCUUCUGGACCCAUUCCCAGCUAUCCCAUACUUUUAAUGAGGAGGAAAGACAUUUUCGUUUGCCCUCUGGACACAGACCUUGGCCUGCUCAAUGUGAGACCCACUUGUCACGUUCCUCAAAGCUGCUAACAGUGUUGUAGGUUAUUCCAGUGAUGGUUACCUUUACAAUUCAGUCUAUAUAUUACAACAACUUUGAGAUGGAUCAUGCCAGAGCUGAAGCAGGGAUGGAGACCAUUCAGAGAUCCAGCAUUUGAACAUGAACACAGUGACCGGGCAGACUGGUGUUUCCCUCCUGGGAAAGGGGUGUGUGGUGGUUCACCUGGGUUGUCAACUGGAUUGGGUUGAGAAG
ensembl:lncRNA